AGAGUUUGAUCCUGGCUCAGGAUGAACGCUAGCGACAGGCUUAACACAUGCAAGUCGAGGGGCAUCAUGAGGUAGCAAUACCUUGAUGGCGACCGGCGCACGGGUGAGUAACGCGUAUGCAACCUGCCCGAUACCGGGGUAUAGCCCAUGGAAACGUGGAUUAACACCCCAUAGUACUUUUAUCCUGCCUGGGAUGGGAGUUAAAUGUUCAAGGUAUCGGAUGGGCAUGCGUCCUAUUAGUUAGUUGGCGGGGUAACAGCCCACCAAGACGAUGAUAGGUAGGGGUUCUGAGAGGAAGGUCCCCCACAUUGGAACUGAGACACGGUCCAAACUCCUACGGGAGGCAGCAGUGAGGAAUAUUGGUCAAUGGACGAGAGUCUGAACCAGCCAAGUAGCGUGAAGGAUGAAGGUCCUACGGAUUGUAAACUUCUUUUAUAAGGGAAUAAACCCUCCCACGUGUGGGAGCUUGUAUGUACCUUAUGAAUAAGCAUCGGCUAACUCCGUGCCAGCAGCCGCGGUAAUACGGAGGAUGCGAGCGUUAUCCGGAUUUAUUGGGUUUAAAGGGUGCGUAGGCGGUUUAUUAAGUUAGUGGUUAAAUAUUUGAGCUAAACUCAAUUGUGCCAUUAAUACUGGUAAACUGGAGUACAGACGAGGUAGGCGGAAUAAGUUAAGUAGCGGUGAAAUGCAUAGAUAUAACUUAGAACUCCGAUAGCGAAGGCAGCUUACCAGACUGUAACUGACGCUGAUGCACGAGAGCGUGGGUAGCGAACAGGAUUAGAUACCCUGGUAGUCCACGCCGUAAACGAUGCUCACUGGUUCUGUGCGAUAUAUUGUACGGGAUUAAGCGAAAGUAUUAAGUGAGCCACCUGGGGAGUACGUCGGCAACGAUGAAACUCAAAGGAAUUGACGGGGGCCCGCA
rnacentral:rRNA from 1 species